CUUGAUUGCAGGAUUGGACAGAUGGGUGAGCCUGGGACCAGGUGCAGUCAAUCGUCAUCAACAGCCUACUUAAGCCAGUCCCUGGCCUCACCUCAUCGCCAGAUCAACAUCUCCUCUCGAAGAAUCCUGCAUUGCUCACCUGACUUCACAGCUCACCUGCUUACAAACCAACUGCCCGCCUGACUAUCUGGACAAAGACUGCCUCCACAUCAGUGUUGUUAAUCUUACUGAAAAAAAGUAAUAUAGAGGCCAUACAUCACCCAGGCCAUGAGUGGAGAGCUCAAAAAGUGGUCCCUGUCUGAGAAUUGGCUGCACCGUUUCACACUGAACUGGUUUCUCAUCAGGAGGGAUGAAGCCUUGACACAGUGGCUCAUGGCAUAAUCCGCUCUUC